rnacentral:rRNA from 1 species
AUUGAACGCUGGCGGCAGGCUUAACACAUGCAAGUCGAGCGGGAACUUCGGUUCUAGCGGCGGACGGGUGAGUAAUGCGUAGGAAGCUACCCGACAGAGGGGGAUACCAGCUGGAAACGACUGUUAAUACCGCAUAAUGUCUACGGACCAAAGUGUGGGACCUUCGGGCCACAUGCUGUCGGAUGCGCCUACGUGGGAUUAGCUAGUUGGUGGGGUAAUGGCGCACCAAGGCGACGAUCCCUAGCUGGUUUGAGAGGGUGAUCAGCCACACUGGACCUGAGACGCGGGCCAGACGGCUACGGGGGGCAGCAGUGGGGAAAAUUGGACAAUGGGCGCAAGCCUGAUCCAGCCAUGCCGCGUGUGUGAAGAGGGCCUUCGGGUUGUAAAGCACUUUCGGUAGGGAGGAAGAGUUGAGUGUUAAUAGUACUCAGCUUUGACGUUACCUACAGAAGAAGCACCGGCUAACUCUGUGCCAGCCGCCGCCGUAAGAC